rnacentral:rRNA from 1 species
GCUUGAGCACGUAGGUGGGUUUGUAAGUCAGGUGUGAAAGCCUUCUGUUCAACGGGAGAAUUGCAUCUGAAACUACGAAUCUUGAGUGUAGGAGGGGAGAAUGGAACUUCUGGUGGAGCGGUGAAAUGCGUAGAUAUCAGAAGGAACGCCGGCGGCGAAAGCGAUUCUCUGGCCUAUUACUGACACUCAGUGUGCGAAAGCUAGGGGAGCAAACGGGAUUAGAUACCCCGGUAGUCCUAGCCGUAAACGAUGGGCACUAAGUAGUGGGAAUUACCGAUGUUCUCUCUGCCGUAGCUAACGCAUUAAGUGCCCCGCCUGGGGAGUACGGCCGCAAGGCUAAAACUCAAAAGAAUUGACGGGGGCUCGCACAAGCGGUGGAGCAUGUGGCUUAAUUCGAUGCAACGCGAAAAACCUUACCGGGGCUUGACAUGGUAGAAGUAGGAACCCGAAAGGGUAACGAACGGUAUCCAGUCCGUGACUAUCACAGGUGUUGCAUGGCUGUCGUCAGCUCGUGUCGUGAGACGUUGGGUUAAGUCCCCUAACGAGCGAAACCCUUGUUUUUAGUUACCAGCGGGUUAUGCCGGGUACUCUAGAAAGACUGCCGUCGUCAAGACGGAGGAAGGUGGGGAUGACGUCAAGUCAUCAUGGCCCUUAUGCCCCGGGCUGCACACGUGCUACAAUGGUCGGUACAAACGGAAGCGAAGCCGAGAGGUGAAGCGAAUCCAAGC